AUGCUCCUCCAUGAGGUACAACUUGACGAGCACACCCAAGGUGACAUCUUUUGGAAGCACACGUCUAGUGGACACUACUCUGUUUCCAUGUACAAGGCCCAAUUUAUUGGGAAGAUUCGUCCUCCAAUGGAGCAGGCCGUAUGGAAAGUUUGGGCGCCGCCAAAGUCAAGUUUUUUCUCGUGGUUGGCAGUUCAAAAUCGUAUCUGGACGGCCGAUAGACUUGCCAAAUGAGGAUGGCCCAAUUGUGACCUUUGGCCACUUUCCAAGGGGGUGCAAAAAUCCGGCAACCUAUUCUUCAAAUGUCGGUUCACUCUCCAUCUUUGGCGCAGUGUUAUUGACAAGCUCCAACUCGUGAGCAUGAACACUUCUAGGUGGCAUCUUGAGCAUAAUGUUGCGGUUUGGUGGACCAACCGCUCUAGCAUUGAUGUCCCCAACACGAAAGUCAUGACCUCCCUCACCAUGAUUGUGUCUUUUGGACCGAGAGAAAUGCUCGGGUCUUCUGAAAUAAGGGCCCCAGCCCCCUACGAUCUUGCUUAA
rnacentral:rRNA from 1 species